GACGAACGCUGGCGGCGUGCUUAACACAUGCAAGUCGAGCGGUAAGGCCCUUUCGGGGGUACGACGAGCGGCGAACGGGUGAGUAACACGUGGGUGACCUGCCCUCAGCUCUGGGAUAAGCCUGGGAAACCGGGGUCGUAAUACCGGAUAUGACUCCAUGACGCAUGUUGUGGGGUGGAAAGCCUUGUGCGGCUGAGGAUGGGCCCGCGGCCUAUCAGCUUGUUGGUGGGGUGAUGGCCUACCAAGGCGACGACGGGUAGCCGGCCUGAGAGGGCGACCGGCCACACUGGGACUGAGACACGGCCCAGACUCCUACGGGAGGCAGCAGUGGGGAACCUUGCGCAAUGGGCGAAAGCCUGACGCAGCGACGCCGCGUGAGGGAUGACGGCCUGUGU
rnacentral:rRNA from 1 species